GCAGCUCAGUGGUAGAGUAUGUGCUUUGCAAGAAGGACCCAGGUUCAAUCCCUGGGCA
rnacentral:tRNA from 1 species